UACGUGGGGGGCUAGCGUUGUCCGGAAUCAUUGGGCGUAAAGCGCGCGUAGGCGGCCAGAUAAGUCCGGUGUGAAAGUCACAGGCUCAACCUGUGAAUGCCGCUGGAAACUGUCUGGCUAGAGUCCGGAAGGGGCGAGUGGAAUUCCUGGUGUAGCGGUGAAAUGCGCAGAUAUCAGGAGGAACACCAAUGGCGAAGGCAGCUCGCUGGAACGGUACUGACGCUGAGGCGCGAAAGCGUGGGGAGCGAACAGG
rnacentral:rRNA from 1 species